AUAGAACAAAGAAAAAAAUGAGGUGAAAAGAGAGCAAGAAAGCAAAAAACAGAGAAAGUAGCUAAGAGAGAAAGUUGCAAGUAGUAGAGUUCUGGUAUAGUGGUUUAUUUUACAUAUUAAUAGUAUAAUAGAAAGUGGGCAACGGUUCAAUUCACUUUAUUUGGGGUACAGAUUUGUUGGCCAUAGCUAAGGUGAGAGAGAAAGAAAAGGAAUGGUG
rnacentral:misc_RNA from 1 species